rnacentral:tRNA from 1 species
AGCUAAAUAGUUUAAAUAAAACAUUAAUCUUGUAAAUUAAAUUUAAAAUUUUUUUUUUAGCUU